UACGUAGGGUGCGAGCGUUAAUCGGAAUUACUGGGCGUAAAGCGCACGUAGGCGGCUUUGUAAGUUAGAGGUGAAAGCCCGGGGCUCAACUCCGGGAGGCGGGUGGAUACUGCUGGGCUCGAGUCCGGAAGAGGCGAGUGGAAUUCCUGGUGUAGCGGUGAAAUGCGCAGAUAUCAGGAGGAACACCAGUGGCGAAGGCAGCUCGCUGGGACGGUACUGACGCUGAGACGCGAAAGCGUGGGGAGCAAACAGG
rnacentral:rRNA from 1 species